ACANGGCCCUGUCAAAGCCNAACUACAGGUGAAAACCCUGUACACCCCU
rnacentral:tRNA from 1 species